rnacentral:rRNA from 1 species
CCUACGGGAGGCAGCAGUGGGGAAUCUUCCGCAAUGGGCGAAAGCCUGACGGAGCAACGCCGCGUGAGUGAAGAAGGCCUUCGGGUUGUAAAGCUCUGUCUUAUGGGAAGAAGCAAGUGACGGUACCAUAAGAGGAAGCCACGGCUAACUACGUGCCAGCAGCCGCGGUAAU